UGGGCCUCAAAUAAUGUGUGACUACCC
rnacentral:rRNA from 3 species